rnacentral:rRNA from 1 species
AGCGAACGCUGGCGGCAGGCUUAACACAUGCAAGUCGAGCGGGCACUUUCGGGUGUCAGCGGCGGACGGGUGAGUAACGCGUGGGAACGUGCCCUCUGGUUCGGAAUAACUCAGGGAAACUUGAGCUAAUACCGGAUACGCCCUUUUGGGGAAAGGCUUGCUGCCGGAGGAUCGGCCCGCGUCUGAUUAGCUAGUUGGUGAGGUAACGGCUCACCAAGGCGACGAGCAGUAGCUGGUCUGAGAGGAUGAUCAGCCACACUGGGACUGAGACACGGCCCAGACUCCUACGGGAGGGAGCAGUGGGGAAUAUUGGACAAUGGGCGCAAGCCUGAUCCAGCCAUGCCGCGUGAGUGAGCAAGGCCUUAGGGUUGUAAAGCUCUUUUAUCCGGGACGAGAAUGACGGUACCGGAGGAAUAAGCCCCGGCUAACUUCGUG